rnacentral:lncRNA from 10 species
UGGGGUUCUUUGGGCCUGUUAUUUUCUGGUUUGGUUCUCACACAGUGAAAUUCUACACAUGGUCUUGAAGCUUCCAGCUGUCUCAUUAGCAAUGCUAGCUGGGGACCUUUCACAGGUGCAAGAGGGAACUUCGUUCUGAGAGGCUAUUUGCAGGAAACUAUUAGCUAAAUGCUAAAACCAUUCACAAGAAUAAAACACUAACAGUGGGUCCAGAUGGAGAAGCUCAUGUGGAUAGUUGCACCUGUAACCAGACACAGCUGGGCUUCAGUGGUUUGCUUCGGGGCACAGUGACCUACAGGAAGGUAGGGACUGCUGUAUGUGUGCAUUUUGCUGCUGUAUCCACAGAGUCUAGAAUGGUGCACUACCUGAUCACCAUGCCAUGAAUAUUUGUUGGAAAAACAAUAAACCCAUGGCUGCUGGACUUCUCACCUUACAGAAGUGCCUGUGAGAGAUUGUGGUGAGGUGCUUGGGGCAGGAAGGUCCUGGGCUGAGCCCAGAGCCUGAGCAAGCCCUCCGUGUGUGGCGUUCUUCAGCACAUGAUCCAGUUAAAAAGGGACCUGCUGACUGAAACUGUUAGAAGCCGGAAAGGUGGACUCCAAAGUGGCUGCAGCCUGGUGAAGAAGAGUGGCCAGUGACCUCCUUUCCAUCAGCCCAGGGCCUGGAUGGCAGCGAGAGCCUGAGAAGCUCCCUCGCUCACCCCACGUGUCCCCACCAGGCACUCACCUUACAUUCAUUUUUAACAUAAAGUUACCCUGGAAACGCUGGAUCCAGAAUGGUGGCAGAGGCCCCUCGUGUCUGGCUGUGCUGCUGGCUGCAAAUCUAUCCCCGUCACUGGCACGUGGUUCCAUGAGGAUGUGAGCAGUGACAGCUCCACCACUGCACCCAGGACCCGCUGAACCCUGAGCAGAGUGCGUCACAGCCACGUCAGCCCUGAACCCACAACCAGCAGAGGCAGUGUCUGCCUGCCCCUUCCUGACCGGCUUCUCAGCCCCAGGCCCCGAGGCCCCGUGUCCGCCUGCCCCUUCCUGACCGGCUUCUCAGCCCCAGGCCCCAAGGCCACGUCUGUGCUUCCCAGGGAAGGCUUUUCUUGGAUUCUGCUUUCCUCUCUCACCUUCCUCCCCCGAUUCUGACUAUCUCCCUUUCCCGCCCUCCAUCUCUCUCCAUGCCAAAAUGGCUCCUGUUUUUGUUCCUCUUCUGGGGGAUCUCAGCCUCUCCUGGUGUCUUGGGCACCCUUUCUUGACUUCCAAAGCUUCAUCCUGGAUGUGCAUCUCCUAAAUUCUAGGUUCUUGUAUGUAGCUGCCAAAUGGACACCUCCCUCCUGAUGCCCCACAGCUCUGACCUUCAGGACACCUCUGAACAAGGCCACACCUCUACAAAUACCCCUGGGUGUCACCAACAAUAUUUCCAUCUUCCUCCAGUUGGCCUUUCCAUUUUGCCUGUAACUUAUGACUCAUCUUUCAGACCUAAGUCCUCCUGUCCAAUCUCCCUGCCAUUUCUCUAUUCCCCAACUUCAUUAGUGUUUUAAAAAUAGGUACACUGCGGCCGGGAGUGGUGGCUCACGCCUGUAAUGCCAGCACUCUGGGAGGCCAAGGUGGGUGGAUCACGAGGUCAGGAGAUUGAGACCAUCCUGGCUAACAUGGUGAAACCCCGUCUCUACUAAAAAUACAAAAAAGUAGCCAUGGGUGGUGGUGGGCACCUGUAGUCCCAGGUACUUGGUAGGCUGUGGCAGGAGAAUGGCGUGAGGCCAGGAGGCGGAGCUUGCAGUGAGCCGAGAUGGCACCACUGCACUCCAGCCUGGACGACAGAGCGAGACUCCAUCUCAAAAAAAAAAAAAAAAGAAAAAGAAAAAGAAAAAGAAAAAGAAAAAGAAAAAAAAAGGUACAUUGCUUGAUGCACCUCCUAGUGGGCUCCCCUUCAGCCCCAUCUGUUGAACUCUUACAGAUUCUGGAUAUGCAGUGGAUGGAUGGGUGGUUAAAUGGGUAAAUGGAUUGAUAAUUGGAUGGGAUGGAUGAAUGGGUAGAUGCAUGAAUGAUUGGAUGGAAUGAAUAAAUGGAUGAAUGGAUGGAUGGGUAGAUGUAUGGAUGAUCAGAUAAAAUAAAC